GGCAGUAUGGUGUAAUGAUGCAUGCAGGAUUUUGUUGAGAUGUUCGAGUCGGAUGUGUAAUUCCCGAGGUCCUUGUUCGAAUCAAGGUACUGCUC